rnacentral:rRNA from 1 species
GAUGAACGCUGGCGGCGUGCUUAACACAUGCAAGUCGAACGAAGCGCUUUUAUUUGAUUUCUUCGGAAUGAAGAUUUUAGUGACUGAGUGGCGGACGGGUGAGUAACGCGUGGGUAACCUGCCUUAUACAGGGGGAUAACAGUUAGAAAUGACUGCUAAUACCGCCUAAGACCACAGUACCGCAUGGUACAGGGGUAAAAACUCCGGUGGUAUGAGAUGGACCCGCGUCUGAUUAGGUAGGUGGUGGGGUAACGGCCCACCAAGCCGACGAUCAGUAGCCGGACUGAGAGGGUGACCGGCCACAUGGGGACUGAGACACGGCCCAAACUCCUACGGGAGGCAGCAGUGGGGAAUAUUGCACAAUGGGGGAAACCCUGAUGCAGCGACGCCGCGUGAGCGAUGAAGUAUUUCGGUAUGUAAAGCUCUAUCAGCAGGGAAGAAAAUGACGGUACCUGACUAAGAAGCACCGGCUAAAUACGUGCCAGCAGCCGCAGUAA